rnacentral:rRNA from 1 species
UACGGGGGGGGCAAGCGUUGUUCGGAAUUACUGGGCGUAAAGGGCUCGUAGGCGGCCAACUAAGUCAGACGUGAAAUCCCCAGGCUCAACCUGGGAACUGCGUCUGAUACUGGAUGGCUUGAAUCCGGGAGAGGGAUGCAGAAUUCCAGGUGUAGCGGUGAAAUGCGUAGAUAUCUGGAGGAAUACCGGUGGCGAAGGCGGCAUCCUGGACCGGCAUUGACGCUGAGGAGCGAAAGCGUGGGGAGCAAACAGG